CCUUUUACUUCCUCCUCGUGCUGGUGUCUUAUUAGUGAUCACACACUUGCUGUCCGCUUCACACAAACACUCAUCAGCGCCUGAUACAUACAUGCCCCGAAGAGCACACGUCCCCAUGGCGGGCCAACCCGAGGAGCCCUGUGGAUCCGACCAACGGUGAAGCAAGGAACGCAAAGGUCUAUCCAUACAUCUACUGGUCUCUCUCUGAUCUAGACUCUUCUCUUAGAGUAUUUGACAGACUGUGGUUGACACUCAAUUUAAGGGGGUGUCAGUUUGUCAAAUACCCCAAGAGAGGGGGCACGAGUCUCCAAAGUUCUCCAUCAUCUCGUUUGAUACAAGCGAGCCCAGUUACACCCUCAUGUUCAACCGUUUGCAGCAGCGCAUGUGUAAGUUUAACUACUUAUGCUCAGUGCUGUGUAGAUUGCUUACAAAUUGUAGUCUUUUACUGAUUGUUACUCUGUUACAUGAUAAAAAUUGUAGUCAGUAAUGUAAUCCAGAUUACUAAUUUUAGGUUAUGUAUUCUGGCUACUUUUGAGUUACUUUUGGAUUACUUUUGGCCUAAUUGGUUUAUAGAUUUGAAUGGGAUUCUUGUUAGAAAAAGCAAAGAUAAAGUGUAUUCUGUUAUAAACAUCAUGAAACACAUAAAAUUUUACAUUACUCCAGGAUUUCCCAAACUAGGGUAAAGAAGUGCUGAUGGCUUCUGAGUUUAUAUAACAAAAAUUAAUUAUUAAAUCAUAAAAAUUUAAAUGAGUAAUUUAAAUAACAUUUUUACAUUUUAAGAUUUUAUGUUUACCUGCAUGUCAGGGUGACAUCAGAGAACUGUGAACAUGUGAAUGUGUUGUUAAAUUAUUAUAUAUAAAUAUUAACAUGUAUAAUUGACUGAGAGGUGCUUUCGUACUCAAACUCAGAAGCAUGGACUGCAAAUUAAUUUGCAUGACAUUUAUGUGGCCAUUCUAUAUUGUGAAUGUUCGAAGCUAAAUGAUAUGACAGUAGAAUUUUUUAGAAAUGAAUUUUUUAAUCAUGUAAUCCAUAAAAAGUAAUUGUAAUCUGAUUAUUACCCUUUUUAGUACUACAUUUUUGGAAUCUGAUUACAUCAUCCAGAUUACAUGUAAUCCGUUUCUACCCAUCACUGCUUAUUCUUGUGCAAAAUGUCUAAGGAAAAUAUCAAAUAAGCAGAAGCACGGGAUGUUUUCCAUAUCAUUUUUUCAUUUAUAGUGUAUGUUUGUAUUUUUUGGCUCUAUAUUGCUGCGAUCUUUCUGAAUGGAUAAACAGGUAGAUUGGAUAAAUAGAUGAAAAAUACAAAUGUCAGAAAAGUACUAUUAAUGCAGUGCUCCCUGUGUCACAGAUCAUUACAUUAUAAUAAAGUACUCUUACACUCUCAACAUGAUUUAGACAACCAGAGUUUAGCAUGCUGAUCAUACUGAUAGCUGCUGAUGACAGUUUGCAUUAACAAGUUCCUCGCUACAGACAACUGGAAUUGUGAAAUUUGUGUUUCAUUGUUAGUAUGUGUUAAUGUGUGUAGGAGUGUGCUAUUUGUUAUCUGUUAAUUAAAUCUAACCAUGUUUUGUUUAUAUUUAGUAUGUCAAUUCUGUGUACAGUGGCUGUUUAUUGGAAUAUUAAACAAUUAUUACUAAUGGAAA